CCUGAACGCUGGCGGCGUGGCUAAGACAUGCAAGUCGCACGGGGCCCGCAAGGGUCCAGUGGCGGACGGGUGAGUAAUGAAUCGCUAAUGUACCCCGAAGUCUGGGAUAGCCGGUCGAAAGGCCGGGUAAUACCAGAUGAGACCACGAGAGGGCAUCCUCUAGUGCUCAAAGGGUCACCGCUUUGGGCGCAGGCGAUUUCGUAUCAGCUAGUUGGUGAGGUAACGGCNCACCAAGGCGACGACGCGUAGCCGGGCUGAGAGGUCGCCGGCCACAUUGGGACUGAGACACUGCCCAGACUCCUACGGGGGGCUGCAGUAACGAAUCUUCCGCAAUGCACGAAAGUAGUGACGGAGCGACGCCGCGUGUAGGACGAAGUCCUCGGUAGU
rnacentral:rRNA from 1 species